AUUACACCCAAAAAACAUAUACAACUUGGGGAGGCCUAUUAUAUAUAUAUAUUAUAGGCCUUUCCCACAUACACAGCAAACUUUUAUACUCGAAAUUUGCAGUAAAAAAGGCCGAUCGACGUUAUAGAACGCACACACACCGCCUAUAUACACAAAAGCAAAAAUGUCCGUUUAUACAAAACAUAUACGGCGUUUCGGUUUUUGGCAGGGGGGGGGUGCGCGUGCGCGUGGAUAACGGCUCACAUAACGUGUCGCGAUGGAUGACUUGGCUUCCUAUUUCGUUGAAGAACGCAGUA
rnacentral:misc_RNA from 1 species